GUAGUUUAAAAAAUGACAUCUGUCACCUCACUGAUCGCCAGGGUUGAUUUGGCUGACAUGGGUGGCUAGGCAAGUGUCCUCUUCCUUUUCCACCACUCCAUGUGCAUCUCUCCUGGAGCUGUGUGCUCCGUUUAAUAGGAUAACCAUCCCCGCCUCAAGAGGACCAUUCUUUGGUCAAGAGUAUCUGAGUAACUACUCUUCCCUGUUAGAACCUCCAAACAAGCUCUCAAACCUCUGUCUCUAUCACAGGGUCUUCCACCCCUG
rnacentral:snRNA from 1 species